UACUCUUCGGACGUUUUUUUGGUUCUCUAGGUAAAAAUCGUGAUUAGGUUCUUAGCCACCAUGAACUCAGAAAUUCUCAGAUUAUUCUUGCGUACCAAAUCCAAUAUGUUAUUUGUUUAAGGUGAUAAAAUCAGACAUUUUUUGUUUGUCCGAUUCUGAUCCGAAAAUUUAUUAAUUUAUCUCCGAAAAGACAAACGAAGAUCUGGAGAUCCAUUACAUAACUACUCGGAUAUAUUACUGAAAUGUCUAGCAUGUCAAAUCAGAUAUGUUAUGUUGUUCAUGGUGUUCUUCAUCUGAUUUUAGAGUUGUACGGAAUAAAAUCAGAAGCUAUAAACUUUGUCAAAACCAUCCAAGUUCCAAAAAAUGAAUCGAGGGAUUCAUUUUUAGGAUGGAACAUCUAUGUAAUACAGAUAGGAGGUCAUCCUAGUACCAAAAUUUCAUGGUUCAUAUUAAAUAAGGAGCAAGCAUAUUGUGAUUCUGACUCUACAAAUAUCAGAGACGGGUCAAAUAUUAGUGAAGAUAAGUUUUAUAUACAAUGUCCUAUUCACAAUAUACAAUCCAAUUUUAUUAUAAUUAAUAUUAGAAUAUUUCAACUGUUAUUUGAUAUUUGAUAUUGCUUUUGCAGAAUAAAAGACCCACUACGUCUCAAACCUGCAAAACAGUACGGGAUAACAGCCAUGGCAGCAUACAUUUGCAGAACAUAAAGUAAGUUUCACAUUACAAUUCAUCAGACGUUCUUUGUUUGUUUCUGAGGCUUCACAUCCUCAUCGACAAUCUGUCUUACUUAUCCUUAAGGUGAAAUAUAAUAAUUGUUUAACGAAUUGAACUUUUCCAAAAGUUCAAAUACUCUUAUUACAGAAAAUGAAACACACGAAAACUGUCUAAAACCAAAUAAAAUUGAAAUGAACAGCAAACAAAUAUAACUUAGUCUUGAUAACAAAAUGGCAUAUAAGAGAUUUUGGAAUAUCUCUUUAAAACAAUAUUCUUUGUCUUUUUCUGAGGUUUGCCUUCCUCAUCAACAAUCAAUAUUUUCAGACCUUUCUUCGAUGUGAUUUUAGAAAUAACAAAUAAAGCUGUCCAUGUGAAAAAAAUUGGUCUUAGGUAAGAAUAAACCGAAUUUAGAUAGAGAUUGACCAUAACUUUUGUUGAUGGGGAUGGCAAAUGCCACAACAAGAGGUAACUGUCUUCUCCUCAUUUUGAAUGGUCACAUAGUGUCAGGUGGAGCUAUUAACACUGGUGGAAUGUAGACGGUCUUACCAGCCUGACGUCAUGUGAUAAUCCUUGCUCCCACCAUGAAAUCAAACCAUUCAGUGAUAUGUAGUCUAGUUCCAUUCGCUAAACAUGCUACAUUAUCAAUGUUUCUUAGCAGCAUAACUGGAUAGCGCCAAUCUUCAGACAAAUCUUGUGGUUUGGAAGCCCAAUAGGCUUUGAUAUUGUUCAAUAAAUCGGGAGUAAGAGCUUGAUCAUUAAUUUAACCUUCAUCAGAAGGGUCUAUAGUGUAUGAACUUAGAUAAAUCAUCUCCUCUCCUCCACAAACAAACCAAACGGAUCAAACACAAUUAUGUUCUCUGGUUAAAACAUCAUAUACCUUAACGACCGGUCAAAUGAAUUGAUCCGUUUAGUUCCUUUUUAAAAUAAAAAAGGUAAACUAACCAUCAAGUUUAUCCAACAUAUGCUGAUUGAUCAUGUUGACAUCCUCAUUGGUUGGACAUAGAAUUGCUCUUUCUUGAAAAAAUAUUCGGAUCUUUGUUUUGUUGAUGAGAAAUAACAUCUCCACAUAUUUUUUUGCUUAGACUCUAUAGCAUAUUCCGCAUCAGUAAUAAGAAAUUCCUUUGGAAUGUUGAUUACAGCAUCACCAUCAUUUUCACCACCAAGAUUUAUAUCUCCAACCACCAAGAUUUAUAUCUCCAACGUUUAGUAUCCACUUAGAAAAAUCUUUAAGUUCUAGUCAAAUUAUUUGUCAGUAGCCUCAUAUUCGUCGUUAGCUUUAGGAUUUUGCAAUGUUUCCAAAGAUACAAUCUCAGUCUUUCAACACCAUGAAUUACUGGUCCUAUCCAUAACAGUAUUAUAUAAAUUAGGCACAUACAUCAUUCUUAUAAAAAAAAAGAAAUGAAUGUAACAUGCCAUGGUUGACGCUUCGUCUUAUUCCUUAAAAGGAUCUGUCGCAACCACAUUAUACACCAUUUAUGAAUAUAAUUCAUCAUCGUCCAUCAAAACAUAUUAUGCAAAUUCACCACCAUAAUCUGAUUUACAGUAUACAUUAUGCAACUUUCUUAAAUAAAUUUUACCACAUUGUAUAUUAAAUACUAUAUAAAACAAUUCACAUUGGGCUUAAACGGUUCACAUUAUAUUUUAAAGUCAAGCUUCUCUUCUUUAGGUUCGUACAACUCAAUAGAGUUGUUAUCACCAUGGAACCUAAAUGAUUAAAAAAACUGAUGAAUCAAUUAUUACAUAAUUAAAUAAAACAUUAAACAUUUCAUAUUUGGUGUGCUUGGAUUUGUUUCGGUGCAUGAUAGCUUCUUUGAUUCCUAGGACCUAGGUUGUUCAACACCAAUAUUUUAAAUAAAUAAAAAAAUAUAUUGAAAUUAAAAUUUUGUUUACUAGAAAUCAAAAUAAUGCUUACUCAUUAUAGAUUAUGAGAGUCGCUAUUUCUUUUUAUUUUUCCUCUUUUUCUUAUUUUUUUUGUUAUUUUUCACAUUGUUUUUUUUUUUUUCAUUUACUCCAGACGUUACUAGUCAUA